rnacentral:tRNA from 1 species
GCGGGCGUAGUUCAGUGGUAGAAUGCGAGCUUCCCAAGCUUGAGAUGUGGGUUCGAUUCCCAUCGCCCGCU